UACGUAGGGUGCAAGCGUUAAUCGGAAUUACUGGGCGUAAAGCGUGCGCAGGCGGCUUUGCAAGACAGAUGUGAAAUCCCCGGGCUCAACCUGGGAACUGCAUUUGUGACUGCAUGGCUAGAGUACGGUAGAGGGGGGGAUGGAAUUCCGCGUGUAGCAGUGAAAUGCGUAGAUAUGCGGAGGAACACCGAUGGCGAAGGCAAUCCCCUGGACCUGUACUGACGCUCAUGCACGAAAGCGUGGGGAGCAAACAGG
rnacentral:rRNA from 1 species